rnacentral:rRNA from 1 species
UACGGAGGGGGCUAGCGUUGUUCGGAAUUACUGGGCGUAAAGCGCACGUAGGCGGCUUUGCAAGUUAGAGGUGAAAGCCCGGGGCUCAACUCCGGAAUUGCCUUUAAAACUGCAUCGCUAGAAUUGUGGAGAGGUAAGUGGAAUUCCGAGUGUAGAGGUGAAAUUCGUAGAUAUUAGGAAGAACACCGGUGGCGAAGGCGGCCCACUGGAUCGGUACUGACGCUGAGGUGCGAAAGCGUGGGGAGCAGACAGG